AACGAACGCUGGCGGCAUGCCUAACACAUGCAAGUCGAACGAGACCUUCGGGGCUAGUGGCGCACGGGUGCGUAACGCGUGGGAACCUGCCUUUAGGUUCGGAAUAACUCAGAGAAAUUUGAGCUAAUACCGGAUGAUGUCUUCGGACCAAAGAUUUAUCGCCUUUAGAUGGGCCCGCGUUGGAUUAGCUAGUUGGUGGGGUAAAGGCCUACCAAGGCGACGAUCCAUAGCUGGUCUGAGAGGAUGAUCAGCCACACUGGGACUGAGACACGGCCCAGACUCCUACGGGAGGCAGCAGUGGGGAAUAUUGGACAAUGGACGAAAGUCUGAUCCAGCAAUGCCGCGUGAGUGAUGAAGGCCUUAGGGUUGUAAAGCUCUUUUACCCGAGAUGAUAAUGACAGUAUCGGGAGAAUAAGCGCCGGCUAACUCCGUG
rnacentral:rRNA from 1 species